UACGUGAAACCGUUAGUAGGGAAGCGUAUGGAAUUAGCAAUGCUGGUCAGAGAUUCAGGUGUCUUUGCACGGCGCUCUCGUGUCGUAUCAGAUCCGAAGGACUGUGCGGCGCGUGUGGUGUUCGUGUGAGCAUCGCACUUUUCUGGCUCGGUGCGUCAACGAGUAUUCGAACUGGGUGACACGUCUGUGAGAAAGGUAGCAGGCUUCGGCUUGUGUUAUAGACUCGCACGACUGACUCAGGUCGGAUAGAGGGGUUACGGUACGUGCUUACCUUCGGGUGGGCUGCACCUCUGCGCUUGUGUUAGCAGUGACCAUUGUAGACUGCGUGCAGUGUACAUGAACUUCUGUUGGCCCAUAGUGUGGAGUUAGUGGCAAACGGUUUGCCUAAGUCGUUGGCGGUCAUAUGGUUUCAUACGACCCGUCUUGAAACACGGACCAAGGAGUCUGACAUGUAUGCGAGUCUUCGGGUGACAGAAACCCUCGGGGCAUAAUGAAAGUAAAGACUUCGCAAGGAGUCGAAGUGAGAUGUGAGCCGUCGCUGCGACUCACCGCAUCAUUGACCGACCUAUUCUACUCUUAGAAAGGUUUGAGUAAGAGCAUAAAUGUCGGGACCCGAAAGAG
rnacentral:sRNA from 1 species